AUUGGGGUGAAGUCGUAACAAGGUAGCCGUAGGAGAACCUGCGGCUGGAUCACCUCCUUUCUAUGGAGAAA
rnacentral:rRNA from 1 species